CAGUGUUAUACCUCUUUUAGAAUUUGUCCAGCAGUUUUUUUGCCUUUAGCUGGAAAACCCUU
rnacentral:snRNA from 1 species